rnacentral:tRNA from 1 species
GGAGGGGCUAAUAUAUUGAUAUUAUUGAGCUGAAACCGGACUCAUAAUCCUGAGGUCGAGAGUUCGAGUCUCUCCCCCGCUACCA